rnacentral:rRNA from 1 species
CGGAUAAGGACACCUCCUUCGUGUUGGUCGAUCAGUAUCAAAUCGUAGAUAGCGUAAACUACAACAAUUUAGUAUACACGCAUAGAAAGGUAGAACCUUUAUAAUAUGACUUCUACUUCCUUUUACGGUCAACGUCCACAAACAGGUCCUCAAUACAUCUUCCUGGCUAAACCUUUGAGUCCUACUCCAUUGGACACGAUUAUGGAGACGAUAGAAGUUCUUACGAACCACCGUCAUAGCCUUAAUGGAC